AAUAGGUAAUAUUACCAGCUGGUGCUAUUUGGAAGAAUGAAAUAAGUCAGAGUGUUCUGGAUAUGCUACACUUGUUGACAAAGAUGUAUAAGCAAAGUACAUUGUGGUUUGUUCAUGGAUUAAACAAUUCAGCAUUUUGGACCUAAUCUGGAAUGACGUUGCUGCUUUAGGUGGUGUUUUGAUGCUCAGAAGAUCACGGACUACUCAUUGUCUGCAUGGCUCACAGAAGUAAUAGGAGGCUUAUUUGAAUUCUGGGCUGUUUCUAUAACAUACAUUCAUUUCACUUGCCAUGGCAAACAAGGACUCUAAAACCAGAAGUAUGUGCAACCAUUGGCUGGACACGAUGGAUUUUACAAGGAAUAUGUCUGAAGAAACUCUAUCUCCAUAGUAUCUGUUGAAGAAAACAGCCUCGUGUGUCUCCCAUUAUCCAGUGAGUUUACAGCAAUAUACCCCUUUUUUCAUGUGCUUGCAUUUUCCAAAAUAAAAGCAAUCUUUGGAAAUCUGUCACAUAACUAUCUUCAUAAAUCACAAAACAUAAAAAUGUUAUUGUCUUUUCACAGAUGGGAGAACUGGAGGAACAGAGAUGUGGAGCUGUCUGCUCAGAGCUAUAUAGGAGGCCAGUGACAAAUCCAGGAAUCCAAGCCAAGGCUCCUAAGUUGCAUCCUAAUUCUCUAAUCAGAACAGAAAUUUGCCUUCUGGCACUAUGAUGAGGGAGAAGAUGUCAAAUUCUCAUGACAAACCAGGUCCUGGAAAAGUGCUGAGUGCCAGGGGAAUGGAUGAACUUGAAAAUAAAAGGAUAUCUGGAAAUACGCAAGCUGAGUUACAUAAGGAUUGUAUUGCAAGUGAAGUUUACAAUAUGAUGGUUCACCUCAGCACAAGAGUGAGCCUGGUCACGUGCAACCAGGGAAAUCCACUGGGCUGUUUAUGGAAAGCAAACGUUAUGUGACCCUGAAUCUCACUUGGUAUUUUAAACCAUAGGAGUUUCAGAUUUGAGUCACAAUAAGUAGGACAUAUAUAUGUAUCUAUAUAGAAGCUUUUAAGCUCUGAGCAAGGCUUCUGCCUUGGCAAUAUUUUCACCUCAAAUUGGACAUCUGGUCCUCUAUUCUUGUAAAUCAUUGUAGCCUCAAUCCAAAGUCAGAAAUCAGAUGAGAGGCUUCCAAACUUUGGCAAGAAAUUCAAUGCAAAAACCUUUACAAUAUUCUCUUUUCUACUCUGUCCACUUUGAACUCCAGAACCCCUGUUCCAUCCAUCCACGUUACACCUCGCUUCUUCAUAGGGCUUCCUGCAGAGGGGUGAUAUCAGUAUCUCUCUGAUGCCUUAUUUGCCCCAGUGGAGCUUUCAGUAGGAGCAGAUACGUUCUUAGCACUGCAUGGAGAACACCCUCAGUCCAGGGUCUUCAUUGGGACAGUCCUCUGUCAGAGCACGAGCUGGAGAGGAUGGCACACAAGAGGCACACGUGGUUAAAAAUCUGUUUUCUUCUUUUAAUUCAGCACUUUGACCUGAAACAUCAAGGCAAGCUGCGCAAAGCAAAGAGCUGCUUGCAGAGUAGAAUGCUGCAAGGUAGGAAGAGAAGCUCUGCUUAAGAGAAGAUUCGUCUCAGUCUACAAAACAAUCCCACUACAGAAUAAAAUAAGAAGUAACGAGAUUUUCCA
rnacentral:lncRNA from 1 species